rnacentral:rRNA from 1 species
AACCUGGUUGAUCCUGCCAGUAGUCAUAUGCUUCGUUCAAGGAUUAAGCCAUGCAUGUCUCAGCGCAAAUGGAACAACAGUGGAUCUGUGAAUGGCUCCUUACAUCAGCAGUCAUCUGUGCGAUAAAGAGUGCUUGAGCAAGGUGCAUGCUCCAAUGGACAUCCACAAUAACCUUGUGGCUGAUACACGCAAGCAAGUGUCUGUCAUGCGAUGUGGGGUUGGCUCUGCCUUCACCACGCUGAUAGACUGCUAGCAGCCUUUGAAAGACCAGCGCCAGCAAUGGCAGUGUUCAAUGGAUGAAUCUGGCUGUUCCUACUGGACAAUGCUCUGGCAGAUAAGCCCUGCUUCGGCAGGCAUGCUUGAUCGCAUGAACUUCUGACCUAUCAGCUUGGACUGUGCUGUAGUGGACCACAGUGGCCUUGACGGGUAACGGAGAAUCAGGGUUCGAUUCCGGAGAGGGAGCCUGAGAAAUGGCUACCACUACCAAGGUGGGCAGCAGGCGCGCAAAUUGCCCAAUACAAAGCCAGCUUGUGAGGCAGCAACGAACUGCAGCAAACAUGCCCACUUCUGUGGGUUUGUCUUGGAAUGGAUGCUAUCCAAACACAGCCAUGAGCAACAAGUGGAGGGCAAGUCUGGUGCCAGCAGCUGCGGUAAUUCCAGCUCCAUUGGUGUAUACUAACAUUGCUGCUGUUAAAACACUCGUAGUCUGCCACUGGGAUGCAGGUCUGGCGGAUGGCUGGCUGGCCGGGUUCGCUCGGUUGGCUGGAUACAACCUUCGUCAGUAUGUUCCUGCUCCCAAGUCAAGGAUGCUGAAAGGCUCCUGCAUGAAGUCUCCUUCAGUGAAGGCCAAAGCUAUCUUGCAGUGAACGCUUGCUUGGGACAACAGAUGGAGCCUUGUGCUUCCUGAGUAUCUGCCCAUAACCGGAGUACAGCAUCAGAGCAACCCUGGUAAACUCAGCGUGCUUCAAGCAACCUUGAAAUGCUUGUAUGCCAUCCAGUGAAUUGCACAGCAACGAUCGGACUUGGCUAUGAGUUGUGCUGGCCUUGGUGCCAAAUCUGAGCAAUCUGGGGCAUAUCCCUGACUGGUUCCGAGCCUCGGCCAAGGUCCAGUCCAGGUGGUGUGUUUCCAACCGGAUAUGAUGGAAGCGUUCCAAGUGGAGGAUACUGCAGCGCCAGAGGUGAAAUUCUUAGACCGCUGCAUGAUCAACUGCAGCAAAGGCGCUCUGCAAGUGCAUGUUCGUCGAUCAAGAAUGAGAGCCUGGGGAGCAAAGAUGAUCAGACACCGUCGUAGUCCAGUGCAGUAAACCAUGCCAGCAAGGCUUUGGUGAAGCAAGAUUACCUACUCCAUCAGUGCCAUGCCCCCUACAACGAGAAAUCCACAGCCUGUGGGUUCAGGGGGAAGUACUGUCGCAAGGCAGAAACUUAAAGGAAUUGACGGAAUGGCACCACAAGGCGUGGAAUAUGCGGCUUAAUUUGACUCAACACGGGGAAUGUUACCAGGUCAGGACACUGUCAGGAUGGACAGAUUGAGAGCUCUUUCUUGAUCCAGUGGAUGGUGGUGCAUGGCCGCUCCUGAUCGGUGGAGUGAUUUGUCUGGUUGAUUCCGAUAACGGGUGAGAUAUCUGCCUUCCAAUAGCCUCUGCCACGCAUUUGUAGGGAUGCCAGUUGGUGAAGCUUGCGAUCCAGCUGGUGCCUGAGUGAGCAGGGUUCAGCUUCUCUGAGGUGCUGUGUCUGUUACCAAAGACAUGCAUGCUAGAGCCAACAGCAGGUCUGUGAUGCUCCCAGAUGUCCUGGGCCGCACGCGCAUUACAUUGACGCAGUGAAGGUGUUAUGCAUCCUUGUGAUGCCCAUCUCAGAAGUGAGUUGGAAACCAUCCAAGUCUGUGCUGUACUGGGGAUAGAUGAUUGCAACUGUCUGCCUUGAACGAGGAAUGCCUAGUAUGCUUGUGUCAUCAGCACAAACAGAUUGUGUCCCUGCCAUUUGUACACACCGCCCGUCGUUGCUACCGAUGAGGGCAAGGCAGAGUCAUCAGGAGACAGCUCUCCUCGGAGAUGCCAUUGAAAUUGGGCAAUGCCCUGCCCUUAGAGGAAGCAAAAGUCGUAACAAGGUUGUUGUAGGUGAACCUGCAGAAGGAUCA